AUGCUCAAGUUCGCUCAUCCCUUUCUACUUACUGUGUUUUUCUUAAUGGUUUUCUCAUUGCCUGGAAGGCAAAGAAACAGAUUGUGUUUUUCCCUUUUGAGUGCAGAGGCUGAGUUGCAAGCUAUAACCCUAUUGACAACAGAGGUGACUUGGUUACGAUGGUUGCUUGAGGAUUUUGGUGUUUUUGUCACUAGACCCACGCCUUUCUUGUCAGACGAUGAGGAUUUUGGUGUUGAUGUCCUUUGUGUGCUCCAAUGUGCAGGAUCAGAUAAUUGCUCUUUAGUAUGUGCCUUUCGAUUUACGCUUGGUUCGUUUCUUCACAAAGACUCAGACAAAGCACGACACAUCUCUCCAAACCCGGUGUCGUUCAUUAACGACCUUGAGGAUUUUGGUGUUUCUAUCACUACAUUACUCCUUUCUUGUCACACCAAACAGUAUAUUUGCUAUCAGGAUUGCACUUCACCAUAUGAAGCAUGA
rnacentral:rRNA from 1 species